rnacentral:sRNA from 1 species
UGCUUAAUUUAUAUUAUAUAAAUAUAAAGCGGGGGACCCAAUAAAUAGGGGCGUAUUUCUUGAUGAAUAGGACACUUUUCAGUCCGAGCCCGUCAGCUAACCUCGUCAGCAUUGAAAAGAG